UACGGAGGAUCCAAGCGUUAUCCGGAAUCAUUGGGUUUAAAGGGUCCGUAGGCGGUUUAAUAAGUCAGUGGUGAAAUCUGGUCGCUCAACGAUCAAACGGCCAUUGAUACUGUUAAACUUGAAUUAUUGUGAAGUAACUAGAAUAUGUAGUGUAGCGGUGAAAUGCUUAGAUAUUACAUGGAAUACCAAUUGCGAAGGCAGGUUACUAACAAUAUAUUGACGCUGAUGGACGAAAGCGUGGGGAGCGAACAGGAUUAGAUACCCUGGUAGUCCACGCCGUAAACGAUGGAUACUAGCUGUUGGGCGCAAGUUCAGUGGCUAAGCGAAAGUGAUAAGUAUCCCACCUGGGGAGUACGUUCGCAAGAAUG
rnacentral:rRNA from 1 species